GUAGUUUCCUUGCACUAGGCACGUUCAGCUUAAAAACAAAAAGUGCAAUCUAUUUUCAAUAGGAAUAGAUAAUGUUGUCCAAAAGCCUGAGGAUAACAGUUAAACUCAUUGAAAAUCACUAAAAAGCCCUUUAAAGGCUACUAUUUUCUUUAAUGACAUUUUUUCUUAGUGUUGGAUGCCCCCUACCACCAGACAAUUGGUAAUAGGAUUGCAACUGGUAUAGGGAAGGUGGAGGGACUGAGGAGAAAAGAGAAAUUGAAUUUAUGUGUCUCCUUCUUAGCACAGCCUCAAAUUUCUUUUUCAGAAAAUAACUUCUGCACAUGCAGCAUUAGGAAGCAGUGUUUCCCAACCACUACAUUUGAAUGAUUCAUUCCUCUGAGGACCCUCAAGUACUUCAGAAGAACUAAAAAAUGAAUAUCACGUUACACCAAAGAAGAAAUGAAAGCUGCCAGUGUCUUCUGAAGUUAAACAGGCUCCUGUUCUUUGACCCAGCAAUCCAAUCCUAGUGAAGUGAUCUUUAAAAGCCAAGGAAAGGAAGACAGGAAAAAUGAAGAUAAAUCCCAAAAGAUCAAUAUUUACUUUUAGUCUGCAUUUAAGUGUGCAUCGUUGAGAGAAUCCACGGCAACUUUUAUUAAAGAUAGAAGUUGUACUUGCCAACACAUCAACAAUUUAUGUUUAGAAACAAGAUACUCAAUCUCAAGUUAUCUUCCCUCUUGCCAUGUUUGUGGACAUCCCCCCACUGCCCUUCAUCCUCAGAAAGGAACAGCCUCCUGUGGGUUGACUUGGUGAUAUCUGUCCAUAGAUAAUGUCUCCAGCCCCAGGCUCAUCACUCAGACAUCUGCCCUCAGGAGGACACGUUCAUCCCCAGCACCAGAGACAUGUCUGCCAAGGCUUUUGGAACUGAUUUUAUCCCCAUGCAAAAAGCUAGAUUCUAAUUCUGUCUGAUCACAAAAGGUUGAAUCAAAGCCCUACAACUGAGGUUCAUAGACCAAAACAAGAAAUACAUGGAAAAGUUGCCAAAGGAUUUUAGAAGAUCAGAGGCUGUAAUUCAUUAUAGAUGUGGAUCCUUUUGCUUUCCUCUAAGGAAAAAAAAUAUUCAAUUUUAUUAAGAAAAAAUUCCCACUAACUGUGGCCAUGUUCAAAGCACUCACAGAAAAUAUUUUGAACGCACAGGGUUUCGCUCAAGGAAGAAUAUUCAUCAUUUCAGGGUGGGGGAAAGGAGCUGGUCAUUCAUUUUCUCUCACCUUAUCCUAACAUUUAUAGUUAAAAAGGGAUGGAUUUGUCUUUGCCUAAUCUCCAUGACAAAGCAAUUCUUGCCUGACCUCUCAAAUUCUCCCCACUCCAGAGAUUGUAUGACCAGAAGGUGGGAUCAUAAAUUCCCAAGAGAUGACAAAGGUGAAAAUGGAAUCAACAAUCACUACCUAAAUUUUCAGGCUCUGAGACACCUUCCUAAACUAUAUGAAUAAGCCACAGCAAAAUGCUUAAAUCUCUCCAGCUAUUUUUUCUUUCAUUGAUAAGUUAUAUUUCUUUUUGAAGGAAAGAAAGUAUCUACCUCAGCUCUUAUUUGUUAAAACUUACAUAACAAAGACACUACAGGUGAAAACACAGCCACCAUCACUCUAUAUUAUUUUCUAAAAUGAUUUAUAACAUAACAUUCAGCAUAGAUAACAGUAAAAGUUUAAAGAGGAUCAUGAAAUACAAAAUAAAUCCAAUUUAAUAAAGUGAAAACAAAAUCAUUGUUCUUUUGUAAAUGUUGAUCACAAAGCUUAAAAAAUGUACUUGAAAUGAAAAGCUUCAGAAAUAAAACAGUUGUACCAAAUUCAGUUUAGUAUUUUGUAUUUAGUAUGUACCAAAUAAAUUUUUAUUAAAUUAUUCAUGAUCUGUGUCACCAACAACUGUGAUGAUCAAUACACAGUCAUAUGAUCUUGGGUGAAGUCUGUGCAGCUCAACAUAAUUCAGUUAAUUCAAUACUGUAAGUGCCGCUGCUAAUUUGCCCAAAUUAUACUAUCAAUUCCUCCUUAAUUAU
rnacentral:lncRNA from 10 species